UCGUACAAAUUCAUACGAAUUAGCCACUAAUUCAAAAAGUUACGAAUUGCCGGGAGAUUGCGUUGGUUUUAACCUGCCUAACUGUAUUUUUUUUUUUUUUAAGAUUUAUUUUUGGCCUUUUUUAUUAGAUAGGACAGAUUUAAGACAGGAAGCAAAGUGGAAGAGAGAGACAGGGGGUAGGGAAAUGUCGUCGAGCCGUGAUUCGAACUCGCGACGCACUGAUGUGCUAUUGCACCACAUGUCAGUGCGCUAACCACUAGGCUAUUGCACCAACUCAAUCUGUGUUUUUAACUAGGAGAAGUGCAGUGUACAAUAUUAGCAUGACAUUUUGCCUGUGAAAUGUGACCUUUGAUUACUGGUUUUCGAUUUCUUUUGUGUUUAAAUGUUUAGCAGUAGCAGACGUAAGAGGAAUUAUAGGAGAAUAAUCAUAACUUCAUGUUCUCUGUUUGUGCAGGUAUUGUUUUUUCUGUUUCAUGUGUUUGAUGUUUUAUGUGUUAGAUAAAAUACUGGCAAUUCUUAUCAAUAAAGUGGAGCUUUUUUUAUUUUCUGGAGAGUUAAAACAUUAACUAGAUUAAUUAACUUUUCUUUUAUAAUGAUCGUUAUCUUUUCUCAUUAGGUAAAAUGUUGUAUUUACUGCAUUAUGCUUGCUUGAGUCUGUCGGAGGACUGAGCAGAGUGAGCAGUAGCAGGCGUACGAGGAAUUAUAAGAAAAGAAUCAUGCAUGUUCUCUGCUUGUGCAGCACUUGAAUAAAUAAGACAGCUGAACCCGCUGACAGACUUCAGUUUUUACAACACAACACAACACAACACAACGCAGGGGGGUAGUCAAGCAGUUAAGACCGGCCCUGGCUACCAAAGGUCAUUUUCAAAAACCCAUAAUAGGGGCUCUUUAACCAUCUCAAACAUUUUCUUACAUAUUUAUUGGAAAAAAUGUCGAUCCUCUGCCCAUCUUUGCUCUUAAAGGAGUAGACCUUUCUUCGAUCCUGCUUUUGUACCAAAUGAUAAUUAUAAAGUUCAAAAAAAUCUCAAGGUUAGUGCGACAGGUGUCCUUCUGGUACAGCUACUUUAUUCCAUAUGUUUUGGUCCUGUCCUUCCCUGCUUUCUUUUUGGAGACAAAUAUUUCUCUCGCUAUCAGCUAUUACCACUGUUGAUAUCCCACCAUGUCCAAUUAUUGGUUUAUUUGGGGUUCUUCCGCCCAACCACACUUUACCCUCUCUUUUUGUAGACUUUGUAGCCUUCUUUACCCUUCUGGCUAGGCGAUUAAUUCUUCUGAACUGGAAGAGCCCUCACCCUCCUUCUCACUCUUGUUGGAUAAGAAAUGUUCUUUAUUUUAUGAAAAUAGAAAAAAUUAGGUACUCUCUUCACCGAACUAGCACUAUUUUUUAUUAAAUUUUAAAAUUCUUCUUUUCACUUAUAAAGCUUUGCACAGUUCUGCCCCAGCUUAUGUCACGGGUAGAAGAAGGAGUGAACUCAAGUGCAGAACACAAAGUGUUUAUUAAGGAGAAAGUCUUUGCAAAGGAACAAAAAACCCAAUCGGGUGAGUGCCGUGGAAAACAGUCCAGAAACAACGGGAGAAUUGUUCACUGGCAGCCCUGGACACAAAUAUGGGGAUCGGUUGUGGGGGCAGCGGUCUGAGGAGAGAACUCCACACCUCCCUUUCCCCAGACACUUCCUCCUGGUCCUCCGGGGGAUCCCAAGGCGUUCUCAGGCCAGCCAAGAGACAAAUGCAAUUUUUUUAUUUUUUUUACUUGUGUUUUUACUUGUAUGCAUGCUGCAUUUUAAUAAUGGUCUAAUUCUGGAAAUGUAUGAAUAGUAAGAAAUAAAAUAAAUAAUUAGAAUGUGUUUUAA